rnacentral:tRNA from 1 species
GUGGGUAUAGCUCAGUAGUAGAGCACAUGCUUAGCAUACAUGAAAACCUGGGUUCAAUCCCAGUACUUCCA